UCGAACGAUGAAGCCUUUCGGGGUGGAUUAGUGGCGAACGGGUGAGUAACACGUGGGCAAUCUGCCCUUCACUCUGGGACAAGCCCUGGAAACGGGGUCUAAUACCGGAUAACACUCUGUCCUGCAUGGGACGGGGUUAAAAGCUCCGGCGGUGAAGGAUGAGCCCGCGGCCUAUCAGCUUGUUGGUGGGGUAAUGGCCUACCAAGGCGACGACGGGUAGCCGGCCUGAGAGGGCGACCGGCCACACUGGGACUGAGACACGGCCCAGACUCCUACGGGAGGCAGCAGUGGGGAAUAUUGCACAAUGGGCGAAAGCCUGAUGCAGCGACGCCGCGUGAGGGAUGACGGCCUUCGGGUUGUAAACCUCUUUCAGCAGGGAAGAAGCGAAAGUGACGGUACCUGCAGAAGAAGCGCCGGCUAACUACGUGCCAGCAGCCGCGGUAAUACGUAGGGCGCAAGCGUUGUCCGGAAUUAUUGGGCGUAAAGAGCUCGUAGGCGGCUUGUCACGUCGGAUGUGAAAGCCCGGGGCUUAACCCCGGGUCUGCAUUCGAUACGGGCUAGCUAGAGUGUGGUAGGGGAGAUCGGAAUUCCUGGUGUAGCGGUGAAAUGCGCAGAUAUCAGGAGGAACACCGGUGGCGAAGGCGGAUCUCUGGGCCAUUACUGACGCUGAGGAGCGAAAGCGUGGGGAGCGAACAGGAUUAGAUACCCUGGUAGUCCACGCCGUAAACGUUGGGAACUAGGUGUUGGCGACAUUCCACGUCGUCGGUGCCGCAGCUAACGCAUUAAGUUCCCCGCCUG
rnacentral:rRNA from 1 species